GACGGAAGGUGCAAGCGUUGCUCGGAAUCACUGGGCGUAAAGGGUGCGUAGGCGGCUUCUUAAGUCUGGUGUGAAAGCCCAGGGCUCAGCUCUGGAAGUGCACUAGAAACUGGGAAGCUUGAGUACCGGAGGGGAGAGUGGAAUUCCUGGUGUAGCGGUGAAAUGCGUAGAUAUCGGGAGGAACACCAGUGGCGAAGGCGGCUCACUGGACUGGUAUUGACGCUGAGGUGCGAAAGCGUGGGGAGCAAACAGG
rnacentral:rRNA from 1 species